CCUACGGGAGGCAGCAGUGAGGAAUAUUGGUCAAUGGGCGUAAGCCUGAACCAGCCAAGUCGCGUGAGGGAUGAAGGUUCUAUGGAUCGUAAACCUCUUUUAUAAGGGAAUAAAGUGUGGGACGUGUCCUGUUUUGUAUGUACCUUAUGAAUAAGGAUCGGCUAACUCCGUGCCAGCAGCCGCGGUAAUACGGAGGAUCCGAGCGUUAUCCGGAUUUAUUGGGUUUAAAGGGUUCGUCGGCGGCCUUUUAAGUCAGCGGUGAAAGUCUGUGGCUCAACCAUAGAAUUGCCGUUGAAACUGGGAGGCUUGAGUGUGUUUGAGGCAGGCGGAAUGCGUGGUGUAGCGGUGAAAUGCUUAGAUAUCACGCAGAACCCCGAUUGCGAAGGCAGCCUGCCAAGCCAUGACUGACGCUGAUGCACGAAAGCGUGGGGAUCAAACAGGAUUAGAUACCCUGGUAGUC
rnacentral:rRNA from 1 species